UAACCUGGGUUGAAUGCUCAGGGCUUCUCCUUGCUGAAUUGAGUAGUCACCUCUCUGGGCCUCAGUUUCCCCAAGUGCAAACAAGGGUGUAAGCUAAAUAUCCUCAAAGCUGCCUUCUGUUUUUUUUUAUUUUCUGUUCCAGGACCUCCCCUUAAAGAGGCUGGCUUCCCACAGGACAGGCAGGGAAAUGGGAGAUGCUCCAGGCUCCUUCUCUGGCUCUAAGUUCAUUUAGACUCUCAGAUCCAUGCCUCUAGCCUCCUUGGCCAUCUCGGUCCUUGGGGGAAGUUAAUAAUAAAAGUAGUCCGUGCUUACCUGGGGCUGUACCUGCCAGUCGCUGUGACCCUCAUCUCCACUUUCUAGUGAGCAAACCAAGACACAGAGAUGUUCAGGACUCUGACCAAGGUUACAGAGGAUUGAUGUCAAGCUAACACAAGGGAAGAGGUGUGAACAUUUGGAAGAAGACCCUCUGCUUAUAUAUCGACAAAACAACAAGAACACCAAAGGUGGGCAAACUGAGGCCCAGAAAAGAGAGUGACUUUCCAGGCACUGGAGAUAGUUAAUGGCAAAGGUGGAAUCAGAACUCAAUUCUCUUUGCAUUAUUCCUCUUAAAUCAAUACGUAAUUCCUUGACUCAGAUGAGUGUUAAAUCGCAGAGUUCUCCUGGCCAGCACCAACAACUGGGGACUUGGGACUGUUCCUAUUGAGGUCCCUUAAGCAGGAGGUUGGCUAUAAAGUAGGUGACCAAUUGGUUUUACUCAAAAGUAGCUAAGGAUGGUGCACUUGCAGGGUGCACAGCCCUGUGACUAGGAGCUGGAGAUGUGGGUGAGGGUGGUUUAGGUUGUUCCUUCUUAGGGGACUAUUUCAAGCCUUAGAAUAUUUGCAGUCAGAGAAGAAUUUCUCCUGCAUUUGGUCUCUAAGACAGGACUGCAGUGGUGUUAAAGGCGUCAUUUGGCCUGCCCUCCCAGCACAGUACCCCCAAAGCACCGUCUCCUUCAGGAAACCUGAUUCAAGACGGCAGAGACCCAAGAUUUCCCUUCAUCUUGCCUCUUCUUGUCUUUAUCUCUAAGACGUACCCCUGACUCUAUAUCCUCAACCACACUCCACAGGUUGAGGUGCGCACCUGCAUUUCCCACGAGGAGUCAGCCACUCGCUCCUUCCUGGAUUCAUGCCACUUCUCCUGUGAUUGUGCCGUUUACACACCCACCCAGGUCAGGACUCUCCAGGGCAGGGACUGAGGGUGUGCAGUUGUGCUCAGUGUGGUCCUAGACUCCCUUGGUCAGCUCUUCUCAAACUAUUUAAAUUCAGGACCUCUUUACAUUAUUAACAAUUAUUGAAGACCCCAAAGAGCUUCCACUUCUGUGAAUUGUAUCUAUCAAUUUUUACCAUAUUAGAAACUAAAACUGAGAAAUUUUUAAAAAUCCAUCUAUGACAUUCUAAAGGAGUAAUAAUAAAAACCCAUUACAUAUUAACAUAAAUAACAUACCUUUUUAUAAUGAGAAAUAACUAUAUUUUCCAAAUCAGAGCACAUUUAGUGAGAAGAAGGCAUGGUUUGCCAUUUGUUCCAAAACUCUUUAAAUAUCUGGUUUAACAGAGGAACUUACAUUGUUACAUCUGCUCCUACAUCCAAUCUGUUGCAAUAGGUUGUUUGGGUCAAAGUAUGUAAAGAAAAUCCAGCCUCACAGAGAUAUGUAGUUGGAAAAGGGAGGACUUCCCAGGGUCCUUGGACCAUCCUUUGAGAACCUCUGGCUUAAGCGUUUGACAAAAAUCGCUGGAUGAGAAUGCAUGGGAGGAAGGUGAUCAAAGUUUGGCCUCAGAGGAAGGGGUGGAAUAAAUGCCCUCAGGUGCCUGGCCCACACGGAGAAGGGAGCCGCCUACUGCCUCACUGCUGUCUCCUUUAUUCAGAGUUCCACAAUAGCCAGGGUGGUCCUUCGGUGCAGCCACUCCUGUGAGCAUCACGUAUGUCAUGGAAGCUGCAGUGCCUCACACGCUGCGCUUUGUGGCUUCAAGUCAGAGCCCCUGGGAGGUCUGGGGCUGAUUUGCAGUGCCCUACCUGUUACUGUAAAUCCUGUUUUCCAAAGGGCCGGGGCCCAGGACCAGGUUGUGGGGCUGGCGUGGUCAGGGGACUCCACUGCAGGGCUUUGGGAGGCUGUGGGAGGGACUUUACUGCAAGUCUUUUUUUGGGUUCUACUUUCCACUUCCACUUUUAAUUCUCUCUCUCACUCACUUGCUCUCUCCUUCAGUUCUGAAGGGUAGCUAAAAGCCCAGCUUUCUCUUUGGCUAGCCUUGUGCUUUCUCGGUUUCCAGAACAACCUUGAAAAUAAAAUCAGAUAUUUCCCAAUCCCACAGGCCAGGUUAAUCCAAUCAAAGCAAUGCAAGUCUCUGCUGAUCGCCUGCCAAGCUGGGUGGCAUAGGCAGUCAGUGUGCUUUCAUUAGUCCGGCUAAUUCAGAAAUCACUUUGAAAGGUGGGCACCCUUUUAGGAACUGGCACAGACAUUGUGUGUUCAAAUUAAAGCUCGAUCCCUGGCUCCCCAUUCAACUGUGGAACACCCGAUAGACUGAGUCCUAUUUUAAAUCUAGAGCUGGACUAAGAUCCCCUGAGAUGCUUCAAACUUCAAAUGUAGUUCAGAGGUUUGAGACGAGAUGGUGGAGUAGAGGGACCCACUGCUCACUCUCUUCCACAAAUCCACCAAGAAUUACAUCUACAAACCCACUGAAUCGCACAGAACACCUCUGGAAAUCUGGCAGAGUGCCUCUCAUUGCGAAAUACAGGUGCCUUCUCACAAAAUCCGAUAAACAACAAAUUUAUACUGUAUAACACAGUUAUAUUCAAUAUCUUGUAGCAGCUUAUGGUUAAAAAGAAUAUGAAAAUGAAUAUAUGUAUGUUCCUGUAUGACUGAAGUAUUAUGCUGUACACCAGAAAUUGACACAUUGUAAAC